rnacentral:lncRNA from 1 species
GUUUGGAAUUCCGGGAUCAGGGUGGGAAUUCCUCACUGAUCCCACCCUCUCCGUACUCCCAGGCCGGUUCCCGGAGGCGCUGGAGCAGCACCGCCAGGAGCUGCGGCUGCUGCGCGGCGCCGGCGACGCCCUCGGCACGGCCGUGGCGCACCGCAAGGUGGGAGAGCGCCUGGCCGAGCUGCAGCGCUUCCCCGAGGCCCUGCAGCACCAGCAGCAGCACCUGCAGGGCGCUCUGCGCCUGGGCUCGGCGGUGGAGCAGCAGCGCGCCUGGGCCACCAUCGGCCGCACCUUCCUGCUCAUGGCCGAGGCACCUCCCUCAUCCCAAAUCCCGGAAUUCCCCGAAUUCCCGCAAUUCCCGGAAUUCCCGGAAUUCCCGCAAUUCCCGGAAAGCCCCGAGGGAGCCCAGGGAACCCCAGGAAAUUCGGGAAUUUUGGGGCAUUGGGCGCUGCGCCGGGCGCUGGCGGCGUUCCAGAACAGCCUGGACAUCGUGGAGACACAGCUGGAAGGCCAGGUGCCCUCCCGUGAGCUGCAGCGGAUGCGGGCGCGGCUGUUCCUGAACCUGGGCCUGGCGCAGGAAUCCCUCGGGAACCUCCAGGAGAGCUCCCGGCUGCUGCGGCACAGCGCACACGUGGCCACGCAGUGCCACUCCCUGGAGGAUCAGGGAUGGGAAUUUUGGGAAUUUCGAUCGGAAUUUCAGGAAUUUGGGAUGGAAAAUUCGGGAAUUUCAAUGGGAAUUUUGGGAAUUUCAAUGGGAAUUUUGGGAAUUU